CUCAGGAUGAACGCUGGCGGCGUGCCUAAUACAUGCAAGUCGAGCGAACGGACAGGAGUGCUUGCACUCCUUGAAGUUAGCGGCGGACGGGUGAGUAACACGUGGGUAACCUACCUAUAAGACUGGGAUAACUUCGGGAAACCGGAGCUAAUACCGGAUAAUAUAUACCUCCGCAUGGAGGAAUAGUCAAAGACGGUUCUGCUGUCACUUAUAGAUGGACCCGCGGUGUAUUAGCUAGUUGGUGAGGUAACGGCUCACCAAGGCAACGAUACAUAGCCGACCUGAGAGGGUGAUCGGCCACACUGGGACUGAGACACGGCCCAGACUCCUACGGGAGGCAGCAGUAGGGAAUCUUCCGCAAUGGACGAAAGUCUGACGGAGCAACGCCGCGUGAGUGAAGAAGGUUUUCGGAUCGUAAAACUCUGUUGUAAGGGAAGAACAAGUACGUUAGUAACUGAACGUACCUGAC
rnacentral:rRNA from 1 species